rnacentral:lncRNA from 1 species
ACUCAGGAUAUCACGGGCAACCAGCCCAGUGCAACUAGAGUCCUCAGGAGAGAGGACUGACAAUGGGAUGUGUUAGAAAGGGAGGGCAGAUUCCAAGGAGACUUGUUGUUCUUUGUUCCAGACCGAAAGAAUCUAGAAAUCACCUCUAGGAGACGCCAGUACCCCCAAAACCUGGUAAUAAUCGUCCAUCCUUUAAAAGAAACACAGUUCUACCAACACCUUUAUUUUAACCUCAGGAAACUGAUUUUGGCCUUUUGGUCUCCAGGACCAUAAGAA